rnacentral:rRNA from 1 species
UACGUAGGGUGCGAGCGUUUAAUCGGAAUUACUGGGCGUAAAGCGUGCGCAGGCGGUUCGUUGUGUCGGCGGUGAAAGCCCCGGGCUCAACCUGGGAAUGGCCGUUGAAACUGGCGAACUGGAGUGUGGCAGAGGGGGGUGGAAUUCCACGUGUAGCAGUGAAAUGCGUAGAGAUGUGGAGGAACACCGAUGGCGAAGGCAGCCCCCUGGGCUAACACUGACGCUCAGGCACGAAAGCGUGGGGGAGCAAACAGG